CUGGCAGCCUACACGGUGGCCACGGGCCAGCGCUCCUGUGAUUUCGUGCAGGCGUUUCUUUGGUAGGAGCCUCGCGCCCUCUCUGCUCCUCUGUCUGAAGGAGCUCGGGUUUGGGGGUCUGGUUACACCCUCCGAGGCUCUGGUUUCUCCCGGGGACUCUGUUCUCACACGCCACUUCCUUUUGCUUUCACUUAUCAUGGGAGGUUCCCACGCAGAGGAACAGGGCACACGCCCAGCGUGUGUUCUGCCCCUGCCCCCCAGACAGCAGUCCCCGGGGUCACCUGACUCCCCUUUCUCCGCGCCCAGACCCCACGGGUGGCAUGGCCAUGGGCUGACUCGCCCACCCAGCUGUGUGUGUUGGUGCCCGGUCCUCAAGUCACCGAUUGCACUUUUCCUUGUGACUUUCUCUGACCUGGGGGUUAAGACAUUUGUUAUUUGAUUCCCAGAUAGUUAAUUUUCAAGCACACCGUGAAGAUCCCUCCACAGCCUCAUUGCAUAGAGUGGGAACACUAGCUCACAGAGGGCCUAGGCCCAGCGCUCUGCCUGCCUGCCGGGUGUGCAGGGCCAGGGCCGCAGCUGGAGCCUCUCCUACACCUGGAGGACCCUCCACCCCCUCCCCUAAGGGGAGCCCACCAGGACUUCCAGGGAUUAGCCUGCUCAGCCAGGAGGCAGAGGAAACCCCGGAGGCUGAGGCUCAGGACCCCCAGGAAUCGAGCACAGGGAGCCAGCAGCCAUGGUCAGGCUGCUGCCCACCAGCUGUGGCCCCUUCCCGAAGCUGGCGUUCAGCCUGGCAGCGGGCAGCUCUCGGUUCAACCAGUAGGGCCGGCCUGGUGGGGCGGGGGUCCGGGCUCCGCGUCCCAGGGCCUGGCUGUCACCGUCCCCCGUGUUGUGGAGAAGGGCUGCUCCCGGGAGUGGACGAGGCUGCCCAGGGGCUGGUGGGGAUGCGAGGCAAGCACAGCAGCCCCAGCCCCAUGCCCACCACAGACGCCAGGCUGCAGUCCUCACGGGAACACCGUGGGCUGGACGGUGGCUUGGCCUCAUCCAGCCCCGGGGAGAACCUUGGCUCACUCGCUCUCCCACCCGAGGUUCCCAGCAGCUUCCACUUCCCUGUCCCCGCCUCCCGGGGCCGCCCUGCUUGGGGCGAAUCAGGAGGCUGCGGAGGGGAUGGUCACCCUUGCAUCUGGGGUGAGCCAGGCCCGUCAGGAAGUACAGCCUGGGCUCUCCCCGAAGCUCCACCCGCCUCCAUCCUGGCAGCCAGUACAUCCUACCCGGCACUGAAUCAGGCAGACAGGCGUGCAGGUGCCCCCCAGGCGGAUGUGUGCCAUGUCCGACUACGAGAACGAGGACGCGUGCUGGAGCGCCCUGGAGGGCUUCCGGGUGAAGCUCAUCUCCGUCAUCGACCCUGCCCGCAUGACUCCCUACCUGCGCCAGUGCAAGGUGCUGAACCCCGACGACGAGGAGCAGGUGCUCAGCGACCCCAACCUGGUCACCCGCAAACGGAAAGUGGGAGUGCUCCUGGACAUCCUGCAGCGGACGGGCCACAAGGGCUACGUGGCCUUCCUCGAGAGCCUGGAGCUGUACUACCCACAGCUCUACAGGAAGGUCACGGGCAAGGAGCCCACCCGCGUCUUCUCCAUGAUCAUCGACGCUUCCGGCGAGUCAGGCCUGACGCAGCUGCUGAUGAGCGAGGUGAUGAAGCUGCAGAAGAAGGUACAGGAGCUGACGGCCCUGCUGGGCUCCAGAGACGACCUCGCCGAGGAGCUGCGCGUGAAGGACAGCCUGCUGUGCAAGCUCCAGGAGCGCGUGCAGCAUCUCAAGGAGGCCUGCGAGGCGGGCAGCCGCGAGCUCCAGCGCUGCAAGGCCGAGAACUAUGAUUUGGCCCUGCGCCUGGCCCGCCAGAGCGAGGAGCGCGACGCGGCCCUCACGGGGCACCGAGGGCUGCUGCUGGAGAUCGACCGGCUGAAGCACAGCCUCAUGAAGGCGGAAGACGACUGCAGGGUGGAGCGCAAGCACACGCUGAAGCUCAGGCGCGCCAUGGAGCUGCGGCCCAGCCAGGAGCUGCUCUGGGAGCUGCAGCAGGAGAAGGCGCUGCUGCAGGCGCGCGUGCAGGGCUUGGAGGCCUCGGUGCAGGAGGGGAAGCCGGACCAGGGCCGCCCCCAGGUCCAGGUGCCGGAGGAGGACUGGCAGCGGGCGCAGCGGGACCUCCAGCAGCAGGCCGCCACCAUCUUCUCCCUGCGCAGGGACCUGCGCCAGGCCGAGGCCCUACGCACUCGGAGCGCGGAGGAGAAGGAGACGUUCGAGCUGCAGUGCCUGGCCCUGCGGAGGGACUCCAAGAUGUACAAGGACCGCAUCGAGGCCAUCCUGCGGCAGAUGGAGGAGGUCGCCAUUGAAAGGGACCAGGCCACCCUGAUGCGGGAGGAGCUGCACGCGCAGCACGCACGCAGCCUGCAGGACAAGGACGCGCUGCGGAAGCAGGUCCGCGAGCUGAGCGAGAAGGUGGAUGAGCUCCAGCUGCAGCUGUUCCAGCGUGAGGGCCAGCUGCUGGCCGUGGAGGGCAAGCUCCGGCGGCAGCAGCUGGACGCGCUCGGCCUGCCUGCUGAUGGACCCCUAUUCUGUGACUGCAGAGCUCCGACGUGGAGGACAGCUCACCCAGGAAUUCCGAGGAGUUGUCGCCCCCUCAGGACCUGGAGGAGGAUACCCAACUCUCAGACAAAGGCAGCCUGGCCGUCGGGGAGAGCCCGGAGCAGCCGUCUGCGGCUCCGCAGGAGGAACAGCUAUCGCUGACCCCAGAAGACGCAGGACUGAACGGCCGGGAGCCCCCAGAGAAGGAGAAGGGCCGGCGGCGCCUCAAGGAGAGCUUCGAGAACUACCGCAGGAAGCGGGCCCUCCGGAAGAUUCAGCUCGGCG